GGCUCCGUAGCUUGGAGGAAAGAAGCGCCCGUUUAGCGAAUUGAGAAUCGUGGGUUCGAUUCCCACCGGAGCGC
rfam:Aedes albopictus isolate Foshan contig150938, whole genome shotgun sequence.